GAUGAACGCUAGCUACAGGCUUAACACAUGCAAGUCGAGGGACCGGCGCACGGGUGAGAAACACGUAUCCAACCUGCCCUUUACUCGGGGAGAGCCUUUUGAAAGAAAGAUUAAUACCCGAUACAAAGGAUGGGGAUGCGUUCCAUUAGGUUGUUUGUGAGGUAACGGCUCACCAAGCCUUCGAUGGAUAGGGGUUCUGAGAGGAAGGUCCGCGUCAUUGGCACUGAGGCAACAUCCAAACUGCUCAGGGAGGAGGCAGUGAGGGAUAGUGGUCAAUGUGCGCUAGAGUGAACCAGCCAAGUAGCGUGAACGAUGAAGGAUUAUGGUUCCUUAUCUUCUUUUAUAUAAGAAUGGGUAUUAUAUGAAUAAGGCUCGGCUAACUCCGUGCCAGCAGCCGCGGUAAUUC
rnacentral:rRNA from 1 species